rnacentral:misc_RNA from 1 species
UCUCAGCUUGCGCCGGCAGUCUCGACAGAGUUCCCAGCUUAACCUGUUGGCAACUGUCGAUAGGGGUUGCGCUCGUUAUGGCACUUAAGCCGACACCUCACGGCACGAGCUGACGACAACCAUGCAGCACCUCGCAGAAGACUCCGUAGAGCUACACCCUUUCAAAUGUAUUCCUCCUGCGUUUGAGCCCGGGUAAGGUUCCUCGCGUAUCAUCGAAUUAAACCACAUGUUCCUCCGCUUGUGCGGGCCCCCGUCAAUUCCUUUGAGUUUCACCGUUGCCGGCGUACUCCCCAGGUGGAAUGCUUAACGCUUUCGCUGUAUCACCCAGAGGUCAAUCCCUCCGGACAAUUAGCAUUCAUCGUUUACUGCGUGGACUAC